UCAAAAACAGUAGUUGCAUAGUCAGAAAACGCCAAUGGGGAAGCUAUGCCAUAGCCAUAGCCAUAGCCAAAGCCGUUCGUCCCCUCCAUCCAGGAAGCCGACCGGCAAUCAGCGACCACCUGAGGAGAUAGAGGUGAAAAGAGUGCCUGUGAUCUUAAUGAGCAUGUAGAUGGAAGAGUUCAUGUGACUGACCUGUUGCCGAGGAGCUUAUGCAUACGGAUGAUGAGGUCUUCUUCCUCGGGUGACAUUCCUCCACGCUUGAUGUUGGGUCUUAGAUAGUUUUUCCAUCUCAGCCUACAGCUUUUCCCGCCUCGUUUCAGACCUGAAAUGGACGAGAAUCGUUAGCGAGUGUCGUCGGGUUAAGUCUUGAUUGGUGAAAAGUUAGGAGUAUGGGAGAGGACCUGAUCUCUGUGAGAUAUCUGCCCAGUUUCCUUCUCCAUAAGUCUCGACAUAGCUUCUCAAGAUCAUGUCUUCUUCUGGUUUCCACAACCCUCUCUUCACUUGAGACUUUC